rnacentral:rRNA from 1 species
AUUGAACGCUGGCGGCGUGCUUAACACAUGCAAGUCGAGCGGUAACGCGGGAGCAAUCCUGGCGACGAGCGGCGAACGGGUGAGUAAUGCUUCGGAAUCUGCCCUUUAGUGGGGAAUAACCAGCCGAAAGGUUGGCUAAUACCGCAUAAGCCCUUCGGGGAAGGCAGGGUCGCAAGACCUUGCGCUGAUGGAUGAGCCGAAGUCGGAUUAGCUAGUUGGUAGGGUAACGGCCUACCAAGGCGACAAUCCGUAGCUGGUCUGAGAGGACGACCAGCCACACUGGGACUGAGACACGGCCCAGACUCCUACGGGAGGCAGCAGUGGGGAAUAUUGGACAAUGGGGGAAACCCUCGAUCCAGCGACGCCGCGUGUGUGAAGAAGGCCUGCGGGUUGU